rnacentral:rRNA from 1 species
CUGGAGGUAUCAGAAGUGCGAAUGCUGACAUAAGUAACGAUAAAGCGGGUGAAAAGCCCGCUCGCCGGAAGACCAAGGGUUCCUGUCCAACGUUAAUCGGGGCAGGGUGAGUCGACCCCUAAGGCGAGGCCGAAAGGCGUAGUCGAUGGGAAACAGGUUAAUAUUCCUGUACUUGGUGUUACUGCGAAGGGGGGACGGAGAAGGCUAUGUCAGCCGGGCGACGGUUGUCCCGGUUUAAGCGUGUAGGUGUGUGUUCCAGGCAAAUCCGGUUCACUUUAACACUGAGGCGUGAUGACGAGGCACUACGGUGCUGAAGUGAUAAAUGCCCUGCUUCCAGGAAAAGCCUCUAAGCAUCAGGUAACACGAAAUCGUACCCCAAACCGACACAGGUGGUCAGGUAGAGAAUACCAAGGCGCUUGAGAGAACUCGGGUGAAGGAACUAGGCAAAAUGGUGCCGUAACUUCGGGAGAAGGCACGCUGAUA